UGCGGGGGCAGCAAAAUGAAGGAUGCAAGCCGCUAAAGUGAAAACAAAUAUUUGUUCAUAGACUAUUUUUCCAUGCUAUGUUGAAAUGAUGGCCAGUUUUCCAAGUGAGGAACCAGAAACGUGGAUACACAGGAGGUUAAGCUCACUGACUAAUCUUGAGAUUGUGUGUGAUUUUAAACAGAGGCCCUUCCCACCAAGAGAGAGAUGUGCUAUACUGCCAAGAGUAUGUAGUGGUUAAAAUCAAAUAAAGUGAUCUGAUUAUCCUGUCUAUUGUCAUGACCCACUUAGCCUUAAUAGAAGGAAUGAUGAAGUCAGUGCGCACUGUUUUCAUAGGACUGCACUGGAAAAGAUGAGUUCAGUUGGAGUUAACGCCACAAAUAAAAAGUCAAUUACAUAUGCUUCAGUGAUUUCUCAUGCGUUUUUUCGAACGCCUACUUUUCCUGUAGCAUGGAAAGAGUUAAUGCUGUUACCUACAGCGAGCCAUGGGAAACCAAGACAGUUGGCCUUUGAUGCAGCACAGUGUCUGGAUUGGAGUGGAUUGGAUUAGUGUUGGUCUAUUUUCGACUGUUGAAUCAGCAGUUUAACUGUUAGUUUAUAGCCAUAUUGUAGUCAGAGUAGUUUGUGUGUGUUGACAGUUUUAUACUGUAUAUAAAGGUAGAGCUGACAUAGCAAAUCUCCAGUAUUUCAUGUCUUUCUUCAUCUGUCUCUCUCUCUACUGUCUUUUUCUUCCUUACUAUUUUCUGAUGCCUCACAGAUGUCUUCUAAUUGAAUUCCUCAUUUAUCUGACAGUAAAAUCAUGCUUCCUUCUUGAGUUAGAGCUUCCUGGGUUGCUGCCUGGUUGGUUGACUCCAGCAUUCCCCUGUCCUCCUCCACUGUGAUGGAUCCCUGAUGCCACGGGGACAGGACCAAGCUUAGGCCAAAGACUAUUUGCUCCUUGAGAGAAGUAGAACGGAGUCCAGCUGGGUAAGCAACAGGAGCAUUUCUAAAACUGCCACAAAGACGUUGGCAUAAAGUGGGCUUCGACUGAGCCUCCUUUUGAGAGAACUAUGAUCUGCACGUACGCUAAGAGUGUCCGGUGAGAGAUGACUUGAACCCGGUUCAUGACUCAGCGCCGUUUCAAAGAUGAGAAACUUUCACAUGUGUAUUUUGAUCACUUAAACAAAUACAGACUGAAUGAGGAAAAUGUCUUUGCAAUUAAUGGGAUUAAAUGGUUGGACCAGAUGGCUUUCAUUAAUAUAGUUUUUAACAUUAACAAGCUAUGCAAGCACUUAUUAAUCCCAAUCAUGCUUUAUUUGGUUAUUUAUUAUGCAAUUAGUUAGAGGUUAGGGUAAUUGGUUUGCUGUCUUAACAGGAUUUUGUUGAUCCUGUGACUGAAGGUUUUGGGGAAGUUACUAGCAUUUAACAGAAGAGAAGAAAUCUGACUCAAAGUAAAAUUAGCAUAUCUGUACACUGUGUACUUGUAGCUUUGCUGUUUAAAGAUUUACUGCAUGAACUUCCGGAUUACCUCAUGAUAGCAUUUAUCUCUCUAAUGAUGGUUACUAAAUCAAUCAGCAGGCAGCUUGAGAAACUUUAAUGUUAAGUAGAAGUGAUUUACAUUUUCUCUGAGUAAAUCUACAUUCAGUUACAUACUGCUCUCUGAUGGGGUUAGGUGUUUUACUUAAUUUAAUGAUAUACUCCUCUGAUAUUGCAGCGGGUUGCUAAUUGGAUGGUAUAAUUAUUGCUUUGCAUUAGUGCGGGUGGUUUAUGAACAAUUGUUAAAGUAAAAAUUAAAAAUAGGCUCCGUCAGACAUUUAUUUGUUUUGCAGUGAAGUGUGAUAAUUGCUUGUAGAGUAGUACACAUCAGUUAUAAUUGAUGCAUAUAAAGAUUAAUAUAAGGUAAUUAUAGCAAGUCCAUGUCAGUUGGUCAGAAGAAAGUGGGCUAUUGCUGCCUCUCAGCUCAAAACCAACAAACAACAACACACUUGCCAGUUCCUCCUGACCUCACGGCAGUUUCAGUCCUGGAGAUGACGCAUUUUGUUACUCUUGCUCCUGUGGGUUAUUCAUUUCCAUUUGAUUGUUUUUCAUUACUUUUGCAAAUGGUUUUGUCCACUCUUUACAAGCAGCAAAAAAGUUUACACAAAAGGAGAUUUGAAACUACAGAAAAAAAUCCCUAAAAACCAAAAAACAUGUAAUCUUCCUCCUGCAGUGAAUUUCAUGUAUUAGAAACUUGCAGUUAUAGAUAACCUGAGUAGCAAACUGAUUGGUGUUAAGAUUACUUUAAUCGCCAUCAUAGCCCAACUAGAAGUCCACUUAGGCGGCUCUCGUGUUCUCAUGAGCUGUUUUAGGACACUUUUCCAUUUAGCUUAUCAGACGAUCUUGUGCUGAAUCCUACCACGGGAUUCAGUAAAUGAGCAAGUUUGUGCAAGCGUAUACAUGUAUGGAAACUGGGCGAGAUAGGACAUUAAAUUAGAGCCAAAGAGGCGGAGAUUUUGUAAUUUUUUCAACAGAAUUCAUUUUUGAUUGCCUUGACGAUCUCUAUUUUGUAGUAGCUUUUUUGUCAGUUGAUAAAUCGGACCAUGAAAGCAUUGCGUAAGGCAACAAUAUAAAAAAAUCACCUAAAACUUAAACAGCACUUAGAAAUGUAGCAGUAUUUUUAUGCACAGCUUGAAAUGACACAAAGCAAACCCCCGCUGUCUCAUGUAUCAGUGCUUUCAUAUCCAUUUCGCUGUUGUUAGUCCCGCUCGGUGUCCCCCAUGGGGCUCCGAGGUCAGGCACAAGGACUCUGCUGACCUCCUCAUUAGUGUGAAACUACAAACCACCAGAGGUUUGUAGUACAUCUGACGAAUGCAGCCCGCUGUGCCAGAGUUAGUUUAAAAGUGGGGAGGAUAUCAGAUUCAUUCCCUCUAGGGAACGAGCAAUUUUAUUUUCUACUACAGAAAGUGGAGUCUAAAUCCAGUGUGAACUUUCCACACAAAAAAUAACUACAUCGGAGCUCCACACUGCCAAAGGUUUCAGUUAUAAGCAGCACUGCUGACGUUAAAGGUUUGUUUUGGUGCUUUUGUUUUUCCUUAUUUUGGUCAUCGAAUAAAAAACAAUAGCAACGCUUGCAUUUAAACAGCAGCUGGAAUUCACUUAAGCAGAAGCUCGCAUAUUUUGAUGAUAAAGCCAAAGAAAUUCAAUCAGGAGCAUUUCAAAUAUUGAUAAAGUGGUAAUAAAAAUGCAUUUUUUUCCCCAAAGCCACUGAUGACUCAGUGUUGCUGAGCUUAUAAUAAUAACAAUGAUAAUAUCAAUAAAGGUGAAUUAAGACAAACUUAUGAGUAGUGAGGAAACACUGAAAGGUGACAUAUGACAUCACAUACCAUGCUACUACAGUGCUGUGCAUAAAACAGGGCCUGGGACAAAGGCAACAUAAAGGAUAAAAUGAUGAAGAGAAAGAAUAAGAAGGGUUUAAAAAAAAACACUUCCUCAAACCUAUAUAUAUUAUAUAUAUAAUAUUAGACCUGAAAAUAUAUUUUUAAAAAAUUACAGUCAUAAAAAAAAGAAAAAGAAGACUUGUUGGAUUUUAAGCAGUGAUGAGUUUCAGACUCUUUUUCUUUUUUUAAAGACGAAUUCUUCUGGGAUGAACAUUAACAAACACACAGAGGCACACAUUAAUAUAUGAGAAAGUUGCCUCAGCUAAGAUUGAAGAGACUUUGUUUCCCCCACAGGGAUGCUGAUCUCAGGGUCAUCUCCUUAUACUCUGAAUCUGUUAUCACUGAGAUGGUCAGCAGCUUCUAAAUCUGAGUAUCUGUUUUCAGUAAUUCCCAAUGAUAAGACAAUAUAAAUGGAAAUAAUAAAAAAAAAAACAAUUAUAUAAAAAUGAUAUAAGACUAGAGAAUGUCCCUGAUUGUAUUUUGAGCAGAGAAACAGCUAAAGACAUACAAUAAACAUGCACAAUCUUUUUUCCUGCUUAAAUCAAUAAUAUGAAGUUUAUAGAUUUUUGGGUGUUUCUGCCUCUGGUCAUGUCACGUAUCAGUAAUAACUGGAUAAAGUAACACACACAAAAGAGCAGGAAAUCUUGAAGAGGAAGUAAGAAAACAAGAAGCCCUUCUAUAAGUAUCACAAAAUUAAUAGCGUACUCCUACGUAUAGUGCCGUGGAUCUUAAUGUGAGCAUUUGUGGAAGAAUUGGGAUUUAAAGCUUAGCUUAAGCUAUAGAUUGCCCAGAUCUGCUGCUUCAGCCCACUCUGACUGAAGACUAUUUUAAAUACUUGAUGAAAUACGUCAUUUGAAACAAAUCACCUGGCCUGACAGCCAACUCGUGACUGCUACAAAUGACUUAAAUGCUAUCUGUUUCACUCAGGGCUUUGACAUACCACGACCAUUUCCUCAGCCCUGAAAAAAAGCCUUAUCUUUUGAAACGACUGUCUCUGUUUACUAACACAGGGAAGUAUUCUUGCUUAGUGUUCUGUGACCACAAUUUUUUUUUUUUAAAUAAAAGGGUUAAUGCUCCCCUCUCCUGUCUGUAAGAAGCACUCCACCCUUCGCUAUAGAAAAGACUGCAUUCCACAGGAAGUUUACCCGUGGCCUCUUCCUUUCAUCCCUGAUUCUUCCUGCCUCAACUGAUCGGUACUGAUUGCUGUUGGCUGGGUGGGCUGAUAAGAGAUGCUAAUGAGUAGAGAGGAGUCCCUGAGCCAUUUAAUGGUGCAAAACUUUUUUCACACACACAUAACUUGCAAGAUAAUCACUCAAAACACUACAGUUACAUUAUCAACUAUACUGAGAACAGAACAAUAAGUCACCAGACCAAUUCAAACUUAACACACACACACAUAAUACACAUCCAAAUUCUAUCCAAGGGUCAGAGAUGUGAUUUGAUUUUUUCGCCUCUCUUUCCCUUGCACUGUUGCACCAGCUGCCACGAGUUCCAUCAGAUAGCACGGCUGCUCCAGGUAGACUGGCUGUUUGUCACCACGGCCAUCAGCACCAUCCACUCUCCGUCGGCGCACCUGCCGCCUUUGCAAACAGAAGACUAAUCCAAAAGCCGCUGCUGCUGCACGGUGUGAGCGUGACAGAUUACCUGCCUGUCAUCGCGUCCAGUCAGGAGACGCACGUCCCUGUGCCACAGACAUAAAACGUGCAUUCAGCAGUUUGUGAUAGAGCAGGUGAUACACAAACGUGCCGUAAUUCAGGAGAACACGGCCAUCAUCACAGUGGCUCAGGGGUAUGUGCUGUUUUCCUCACGACAAGGUGUGUGCAUCGCCUGGCCCUCUGAAUCUAAAUCCACGCGUGUCGUUGUGGAUGUUAAACAAAGUGUGAUUAUCUGUCUGUGUUGGUGUUAACAUACUGUUUUUCUGCCUGUUGACUGCCGUGGCUCAAGCAGGGCUGUAGCCAGGAUUUAAAAAAAAUACUGGAGUUAAUACCGCAGACUUGCCUGUGAUUAUUGUGAAUUUAUCAGACCAUUAUGGCAACUUAUAAUAGCCUCCUCGCCCCAGUAUAUCUGUAAUGCAAAGAUUCAGCUGCAGGAUUUCUGAGGGUAGCAUCUCAUUCAGACUCUGAAUACAACCAACGUAGUGGUCCUUUUUUUAUGAUCAUGCACUUUGUAAAUUUUGGUACUGACAGCUGAAAAGAUGUCUCUAUCCUUUGAGGCUUUAAAAUAUGCUUUCUAUUGAAUUAGCACUUCAAGGGGAAUGAAAAUGAAAUUAGUUUGUGUUGGCUGGCAAUGAGGCGUUACACAUAGCAGCCAAACUUAAAAUCCAAAAAGGAAGUCUGUCCUUAAUUUUCUGCACUAUUACUUACUGUGUGUGUUUCCCUUUCCCUAAACAGUACAGGUGAAAAUGGGUGGCAAAUCAAGUGAAGGAGAAGUUGUGAAAAUUCUGUUAGGAAAAAAAAAGCACACAGGCCUGAUCCAUGAAUCAUGAGGCUGGAAUAUUUUAAAGGGAAACAGAGUUCUCCUUCCUGUGCCUGCACUACCAGCAAGGAUUUAAAGUGAAUGUGCAGCUCUGGUGAAGAUUAGAGGGCAAUGCAGAGAGUGUUGGGACUGUGGGGUUUUUUGUUUUGCUUUUUUAAAAGCAAUGGGCUAUGAUAUUAACCAUGACCCGGACCAAGCUACAGUAGAAAGGAAGUGAUCAACAUGUUCCCCUAAAAAUUUCCAUUUGAUACUCAACUGCACAGUGUCAGAAUUUUUAAAGAGAGCCAGACUUCUUUCAGAAAUGUACCUGCUUGGCUUCCAGAGUCCAGGAUAUUAUAUAUUAUAUAAUGUCAGAGUUUGGACCGUACCUAUGGAAAGCUUUACGCUGCUGACAAAUGGAGGCAAUAAUUAAAGCUCCGAGCUCGCCAUUGCUGAACCCAAAAAAAAGUCAAGAGUGAUUGCUCAGGUAUGUGAUUAUUAGCUUUCCCUUACAGGGGGAUGAGAUCCAGAUGUUCAUUGUGUCUGCUGCUUGAGUGAAGGAGGGCACUCCAGCUCCCUCUCACAUGUGGGUACGACUCACUCGCUCCAAAAAGUCUAAUAAUCGGCUACUUUUAAAACAGGCUUGAUUGCCAAAACAAGCCGGCAGAUGUAUUGCCUUAGUUGCUUGUGUCUACUAAAGUUACCAUUCAAGAUUCAGACUGACUGACAAACUGAACAGAUAGCUGUGGUGUGUAGUUGUUAUGGUUAGACAAUCGACAAUGAACUAUAUGCUUUAUGAUAUUACUAUAACAACGAUGCAAAGAUACUGAAAGGUCAUUUGGAACUGAAAAAGGCCAUCUUGUUGAGAGCAGCCAUCUGGAGUCAAGGCAAGAUAAAGGUCAAACCAUGUCAUUAUUAUUAUU